GAGAAGCAAAGGUUUGCUUACCUGGUGCUGGAGACCGAAGACGCUUGCAGUGCUGAUGGAUCCUCGCCUAUGGUUUCCCUUUAUCUUCCUUCUGUGCUCACUUUGUCAGCGUUUCCUCUUCGUUUCUCUCAGCAACUUUUGAAACCAAGAAGAUGAUGGAGAGGCUGGCUUGCUGUGAAUUGGUUGUUGAUUCUAGGUUUUUCUGCAGGGACAAAAACAAAUGGCAAAAACCGAUACCCCCCUCUGUGUUGCUCCUUGCUUUUUAUUCUUUUUCGGUUUUUCUUUGUUUUGUUUUGGUCCGUGCUCUCUAUUUUUGUUCCUCUGUUUCUCUGUUUCCCCUGGUUCUGUUUCUUCCUCCCCGUUUCCCUGGUUUUUUUUCGAGUCUGGGUUUUAGCUUCUCCUUCUCUUUCGGUUCUGCUCCCCCGGUUUUGUGAUUCCUCCUUUGGUUUUUUUAGCAGUUUUUCCUCCGGUCUCUCCCUGGUUUUUUGUGUCUGGGUUUAGCUUCCCCUAGGUAUUUUUUCUGCCCUCGAUUUCUUCGUUGUUCCUCUGUUUUAUAGAGUCUGAUCGGUGGUAACGGACGGCAUGUAGAGGGACGGCAACAUUAAAACGUCCAUAACUGAGGUGAGCGGAUGAUUACUGCCUAUAACUGCUGGAAACGGUCUCGGGUUAAAGAAGAAGAAGAUGAACAGUGCUAUUUCAAAACGACACCGUUUUGAAGAUAACAGUGGCCAUUUUCACUUUGACUCGCAAAGUUUCGAAACUUUUAUAAUUAAGCCCCUGAUUUAAACUGUAAUUGGCCCCCUGCAUUUGCAUGCCAUUUUCAAUGUAGCCCUUGGAUUUUAAUUUUGCAAUUUUGACCCCAAACUUUCAU
rnacentral:lncRNA from 1 species